rnacentral:rRNA from 1 species
GCGAACGGGUGAGUAAUGCGUAGGAAUCUAGCUUCUAGAGGGGGAUAACCCGGGGAAACUCGGACUAAUACCGCAUAGCCUCUGAGGAGUAAAGCAGGGGACCUUCGGGCCUUGCGCUAGGAGAUGAGCCUACGUUGGAUUAGCUAGUUGGUGGGGUAAAGGCUUACCAAGGCGACGAUCCAUAACUGGUCUGAGAGGAUGAUCAGUCACACUGGAACUGAGACACGGUCCAGACUCCUACGGGAGGCAGCAGUGGGGAAUAUUGGACAAUGGGCGCAAGCCUGAUCCAGCAAUGCCGCGUGUGUGAAGAAGGCCUGAGGGUUGUAAAGCACUUUCAGUGGGGAGGAAGGGUUAUGCCUGAAUAAGGUAUAGCAUUGACGUUACCCACAGAAGAAGCACCGGCUAACUCUGUGCCAGCAGCCGCGGUAAUACAGAGGGUGCAAGCGUUAAUCGGAAUGACUGGGCGUAAAGGGCGCGUAGGUGGAAGAUCAAGUCAUAGGUGAAAUCCCCGGGCUUAACCUGGGAACUGCCUGUGAAACUGGUUUACUAGAGUAUGGGAGAGGGAAGUGGAAUUUCCGGUGUAGCGGUGAAAUGCGUAGAUAUCGGAAGGAACACCAGUGGCGAAGGCGACUUUCUGGCCUAAUACUGACACUGAAGUGCGAAAGCGUGGGUAGCGAACAGGAUUAGAUACCCUGGUAGU